rnacentral:rRNA from 1 species
UACGGAGGGGGCAAGCGUUGUUCGGAUUUACUGGGCGUAAAGGGUGUGUAGGCGGUCGCGCAAGUCUGAUGUGAAAUCUCCGACGCUUAACGUGGAGAGGUCAUUGGAAACUGCGUGACUCGAGUAUGGUAGAGGCAAGCGGAAUUCCUGGUGUAGCGGUGGAAUGUGUAGAUAUCAGGAAGAACACCGGUGGCGAAGGCGGCUUGCUGGGCCAUUACUGACGCUGAGACACGAAAGCGUGGGGAGCAAACGGG